rnacentral:rRNA from 1 species
GAUGAAUGCUGGCGGUGUGUCUAAGGCAUGCAAGUCGAGCGGAUCAUUCAAGGUAGCAAUACUUUGGAUGGUUAGCGGCAAACGGGUGAGUAACACAUUGGUAAUCUGCCUCGAAGUCGGGCACAACACUGCGAAAGCGGUGCUAAUUCCCGAUAGUCUCUCUGGUGCAAGUCCAGAAGAGUAAAGCCCAAAAGGCGCUUCGAGAGGAGCCUAUGGCCUAUCAGCUAGUUGGCGGGGUAAUGGCCCACCAAGGCUACGACGGGUAGCAGGCGUGAGAGCGCGACCUGCCUCAGUGGGACUGCGACACUGCCCAC